rnacentral:sRNA from 1 species
CUGGGUGUAAGGAUUCCCACGGUGGCUCUUCACAUGAUGGAACUGUUUGACACAACUGUAGAGCAGCUGUAUAGCAUCUUCACUGUAAAGGAUUUAACAAAGAAGAAGAUCAUCAUGAAAUGGAGAUGUAGGAACUGGCCAGAAGGUAUGUUACUAAUUACUGCCCUUCAUAUUAAAGGUCCCAAAACACUAAGGCUAGGUUUUUCGUAUGGAUAAAUUUUCCUUUUCAUAAUGCGGUAAUAAGGUUCCUAUUUUUUUUCUUAGAACACUAUGCCAUGGUUGCACUGAAUUUUGUGCCUACUCUAGGGCAAACAGAAUUACAAUUGAAGGAGUUCCUAUCUGUAAAGAAGAGAACAUGAAAUUCUGUUGGCAGAAGCAGCAUUUUGAAGAAAUAAAAGGUUUACUGCAGCUGACCCCCC